rnacentral:sRNA from 2 species
CCCGCCGUCCUGGGGGAGUAGUCUCCUGCGAGCGCCCUGCUCGCGCGGCCCGCGUCAACAUGCUUGGUCCACAGACCAUGGCGCCGGCGACCCGACAGGCUUGAAGCCUGGGGUU